rnacentral:tRNA from 1 species
GCGCCCUUAGCUCAAUUGGAUAGAGCGUCUGGCUACGGACCAGGAGGUUGGGGGUUCGAGUCCUCCAGGGCGUGCCA